CCUACGGGUGGCAGCAGUGGGGAAUAUUGCACAAUGGGGGCAACCCUGAUGCAGCGACGCCGCGUGAGUGAAGAAGUAUCUCGGUACGUAAAGCUCUAUCAGCAGGGAAGAAAAUGACGGUACCUGACUAAGAAGCCCCGGCUAACUACGUGCCAGCAGCCGCGGUAAUACGUAGGGGGCCAGCGUUAUCCGGAUUUACUGGGUGUAAAGGGAGCGUAGACGGCAGCACAAGUCUGGAGUGAACUGCCGGGGCUUAACCCCGGAACUGCUUUGGAAACUGUGCGGCUGGAGGGCAGGAGGGGUAAGCGGAAUUCCUAGUGUAGCGGUGAAAUGCGUAGAUAUUAGGAGGAACACCGGUGGCGAAGGCGGCUUACGGGACUGUAACUGACGUUGAGGCUCGAAAGCGUGGGGAGCAAACAGGAUUAGAUACCCGAGUAGUC
rnacentral:rRNA from 1 species